rnacentral:SRP_RNA from 15 species
GGCAGAGUGCGGCAAAGCGUGUGCGGAAAGGAAAGGCGGUUGUUGCUAUUGGAAGCCAAAGGAAGGCCGAUGCAAAUGGUGUCCUGGCGCCAGAGGUGACAAUGCUGGUGCUGGAGGCCGCUAUCAGUGCAUCGUAUAAUGAGGUGUGGAGGGCUCCAAGUACGAAAUGCAUCAGA